GAAGGGGAGAGUACAGAUGGGAGGAGUGGGGAGGAAAGCAGACCUUAUCUCAGGCAAUUAAUCAGAGACACUCAUAUUGCGGGACAAUUAUUCAAAGCUCACUCCUGCAUAACUCAGCCCAAGGUUCCAGUGGGCUCGCUGUCUCUUUCCAUCCACCCUGGACUGGAAGGUCAGGAAAGUGAGAGGAAGGUGGAGCUGAGAGAGGAAGAGAGGGACGCCAUUGAGUGUGUGUGUGUGUGUGUGAGAGAGAGAGAGUCAGCUCGGGCAACGCAGGGUCAAAGUCAUUCAAAGUCUGGUCUUCUCUGGAGGCAUUUUUUUGUUUUUCAAGGAGUUUAUUCCCCAUCAUGUUUACAUGUAUUAAGUUUUUGGCCAUUGGUGGAAUAACAUGGGCGUUGUCUGUGUGUGUGUGUGUGUGUGUGUGUGUGUCACUGUGUAUAUGUGCGUGUGUGUAUUACGGCCCAGGGCCAGCAUUAUCAACAUUCCUCGGUGGCAGCAGGGUGGCUCGCCUGGCACCACACAAACAGGAAAAGGAAAUAGCUCAACUUAACUACGGUUAUCUCCCGGAGAGCCCUCACAGUGUGUGUGUGUGUGUGUGUGUGUGAGAGAGAGAGAGAGAGAGAGAGAGAGAGAGAGCGCGGCGUAGACUGUUUAAAUAUGGAUCCUGGUGGCGGUGCAACAGUAAACAGCAGCAGGUCUGUUUAUUAAAACCGUCUUCAUUAGUAUUGAGUCAUUGUUGAUGUUUAAAGGAAAAUUCCGUUGUGUUUUUUUUUUAUAACAGCUCUGGUGCAUUGUGGUGUGAUGCCUUCAAAGGGGGUCGUGUUUACCAUGUUCACAAUGACCCACGAGUGCAGAAUUGGGGACUUGAGGAGUGGACACUUUGCAACAGGAUGCUGACAUUUCUCGAAAUGUUGAAGCUCGUAGACGUUUUAAUUCUUUUUGUCUUCUUUCUCUGCCGUCUGCUCUUCAUCUGAUCUCACACAUGACAGGCUGUGAACACAAAAUCACGAGUUACUCUUGAAAGAGAGUGAACGAGGCGACAUCAGGUUUGAUGGCAGAAUUGUUCUGCUCUUUCUGCUUAUCCUGAUGGGUCUUUUGUUGUUCUCCGUGUGAUUUUGAAGGCCAGUUUUCUGGUUCAUCUUUGACCAACUGCACUUCCUGUACAGAUGUGCACCAAUGUUGCUGUGUAACCCACUCACUUCUGUCUUCACAUCCAGAUAAGAUGUGCAGUGUGGUGUUUGUUUACGACUCGUCUCACGUUCUCGACGUGUUUGAUACCGAGAUGUCAGCAGUUAACCCAUCGGCGCGAGUGUGUCAUAAAGGCAACACAGCGACGAGACACCACCCUGAUGGGGGCACGAUACCACGGAAACAUCUGGCUGCUUCAUCGGUGUCCUGGGAAAGAGAAAAGAGGAGGAAGGGGAGAAAACAGGCGGGCGAGAGACUGCAAACGAGGCUGGCUGAAAUGAUGAAGAUUUUGACAUUCUUCAAGGCAGAAUUCGUGAAUCAGGUGAUGAAGAAGAACCCACCUGAAGGCCCUCAUCAUGCUUGUUUCAGGUUUGUUUUCUCUUCAAAGUAAGUUCGACUAACCCUCUCGGUUUGUUCACAACCUGUCCGAGUGUCUCACAGCUCAGGUGUCUUUCGUCGUUGGACUUCUUGUGUAGUGUUUGCAGAGCUCUCACAGGAGGCGUCCGCAUCGUCUAAAUCACACCCACGAUACCUCGGUGAGACUUUUUUGUGUGUUGUGGGGAAAAAAGUAUGAUGAAACCACGAAACAAUACGCACACGUAAACACGAAUGUGGCGACACAUUUCUUGAAGGAGAAACCCAAUCCCACGUGUAACUCAAGAACAGGCUGCAGACAGACAGCACGUCUACCUGACUGGCAUGGAAAGGGCAUGUUUGUCUCAGGUGGACCUCCUGGUCCGACGGACGACAUCUUCAUCUUCACGCCAUCAGAGUUUUGGCCGCUUUGGCGUCUUUCAAGAUCAUCUCCGAACUGACGAUUUUUUCUGCGAGCUGAGUUCUCGUUUUUCCAGCUGCUUCACCUCCUGAUCAGUCACCUGGAGAGUCGGAGGUGUGAGGAAGGGGAAGGAAGUCAGCGAACGAGGCGAAGGAAGACUCUGCCGAGUUUCCGCAGGAACGCCACAGCGCUGGGCUGCCGAGGUCAAAAGCUGAUGGGAAACACCUGCUGUGGGUGGGCGUGGCCAGACGUCCAGCGGCUGUGAUUCGCUCUGGAGUCAGCGUUCAUAUGAAGACAAAGAGGAGAGAAACUACACUUAAAAGUUGAUGAAGCUUCUGAUAUAAUAAAGUUUGAU